GUUUUGACCCUCGCUCUCGUUUUUGGAUUCCUSCCUUUCGCCUCAGCCCCUAUUGGAUUUGCCCAGCCAUCGGACCCCCGGAUCUCGACCCCCGCCUGUGUACCACAACCAAGAGUUAAGUCUGAUCCCCUUAACCUGUCGCCGCUCUCUGACCACAUGUUUUUGACCCUCGCCUGUCUCACGGAUUCUCCUCAAGCCUGCGUACCACGCCGCAGCGCCAAACACGGAAGUGCCAGGAACCACCGUCACCUGAGACUCUCAAAGUCUUUCAAAGUUUCGGCUUCCAAAACACUGGUACUAAAAAGACCUCCGUGUCCCGGUGACGUGUCGGUCCCGAUCCUGCUGCUCCAGAUUUAAUAAAAUCCUUAAAUCGUC